UACGGGGGGAGCAAGCGUUGUUCGGAUUUACUGGGCGUAAAGGGCGCGUAGGCGGCCACCGCAAGUCGACUGUGAAAUCUCCGGGCUUAACCCGGAAAGGUCAGCCGAUACUGCGGGCUAGAGUGCAGAAGGGCAACUGGAAUUCUCGGUGUAGCGGUGAAAUGCGUAGAUAUCGAGAGGAACACCAGUGGCGAAGGCGGCUCACUGGCCCGGUACUGACGCUGAGGUGCGAAAGCGUGGGGAGCAAACAGG
rnacentral:rRNA from 1 species